UAUUUCUAGAAUGAACUCAAUCCGAUACUUACAAUUUCUCUUUCAUUUCAUAUGUAAGAUCGGAUUGUGAUGGUUUUCUCAGCAGAACGAUCAUGUCAAUUGUACUUUCGUAUGAAAAGGUAGUUUUAUGUCUUAUGCAGUGAUGUGAUAGCGUGGAUGGCUUGGUUGAGGCGUAAAUUUGAAGUUUUGACUUGAGCUUGUCUUAAUUAGUCAAUUAGCAAUAG